rnacentral:lncRNA from 1 species
GAAGAAACACAUUAUCCAGAAUGCUUGCCAGCAGCUUUCUGGUUUAGAAUCUACCAGGCAGAGGCCAAAAGCUCUGAAAGGUCAAAGACAAGAAGAAACGGUUAUUCUCUGUCCAGGGAGUGAAUCCUUGUGGGUUUCAACAGAUUGUGACUCGUUUGUAACCAAAAACCGUGGGAAUUAUUCUCUUGCUGCUUUGGUGAUCAAAGAACAUGGAGGGAAGAUUUCCUGGAUGCCGGAACAAUACUAGGCUUCUCACCGCAGCCCAUGAAGCUAAGACAGGGCACUGGCAUUGGCUACGUUGACAGCUAAGAUCGAUGGAGCAUGUAUUGGCUAGUCAUCGCAUUAUGCAUUUCAUGAGCGAUAUUGGAGACUGACAUCUUUCUGUUUCAGUAUCUUGAUGGAUCAGAAGACUAAAAGUCAUCAGGGUUAAAGCAGGAGUUAAGAUUGACAUAACUUUGAGAAACUAGGAAUCUGCAGUGGUUUAGUAUACCGGUGCCCUGAAGUUCUGAACAAAUCUUUCUCAAGGGUGAAGUUACGUGGAUGAAUGGUAACAAAUCCAUACAGGGAAGCAAGUGAUUAAGGCCAGUGUUUGAGGGCACACCACAGAAUCGUUAAUCAUAGGCACCAUGAUAUGCAGAAACUCUAAUUUUGAUAUUGCCAGAGCCUGAAAGUUCUUAAGAAAAGGAAUCAAUUCUUGAUCUUACAGCACAAGCCAUUGCUCUUCUAUUCAGGAAUUUUUCCCCUGUACCCA